AAUAAUACACAAAACAGAGAAAAAAAAACUUGGGCUAGAGCCCAACAAUAUAGUCGGAUAUAUAUCACCGGUGAACCAACCAUAUACAAUCAGCCUUCAGCACAGAUAUAAACUUGGGCUAGAGCCAAACAAUAUAGUCGGAUAUAAUUGACGAUUAUGCCGCCUAUCAGUCUUAGAUCCCUCAUUGCGCAGGCGACUCGCGGAGGAGGUAGAUCUCUAGUCUCAAGGCGCAAUUUUUCUUCAUCCAGUAUUAGCAAUGAGCCCAAGUUACCCAGAAUAUCUAUCGGGAGCUACAUCAGCGGCUGCAGGAUAUGGUACAGCUUAUCAUUUAUUUGAAGUUGAUGAAAUGGAACUUGUUAAGGAGCGGCAAAAGGUAGAAACAAACAAGCAAGAAGCACUCAAAUGAGAUUGUGACCAUUGCACUUGUUUAAAAAGAUUGUUUAUGUUAGCUUGAUUCAAGUUCAGUUUCCUUCAAUGGGUUAUAAUAUCCCUAGCUGGUAUAAUUAUCAGUGUCUUUGUUUCUAUUGCAUUCUAUCUCAUUGUAUCACAUAGUGAAUAUCACUCUAAACGAUCAUCAGCUACAGAGACUCUUAAGGGUCAUAUCUUGGCGGUGAAAACAGUAAUCAAUUCGAGCCCUUGUUGAAUUUUGUA